ACAAGCAUUAAUGUGGAAGUAAAAGAUAAGUUUCUAUCAGUCUACCCUAACUGUUUGGCUCAAGCCAUUUAUUGUGUUUUCAAAGAUGCUUUUCCAGAAUCACAGCAAAGAUUUAAUGAUGACUUUAAAAAGUACUUGGUAACAUUGAUAUUUGAGCUUGUCACUGGUUUGAGACCUGUGCCUGGAAUAUGGAAAACUUGGAAUGAUGAAGGUCUGGAACAAA
rnacentral:sRNA from 1 species